AUACAACAUUAGCUUCUGGUGCUGAAAAAUGGUAUAUAUGCCGCUCAGUUGGAUGUGAAAAUAAAAGACAAACGGCUGCUAAAAACCCCGCAGUAUAGAGACCAAGAUAGAAAAGGGAAAAACCAACGAAGCAAUAUCGUUUGAAGAGUAAAAAACUGCAGAACAGAAUAAAAACAUCACCACCAGAAUGGCAUAUAUACGAUUUGUCCUUGUCUGUGUCGCCAUGGUUACCAUGCUGUUGGGCGUGGAGGGCCGACUGUGUCAGAUGGACCCCGUCGCCAUGACGUGCACGGAUAUUGUGCCACGUGGAGGGCCGUUAAAGGGCGCAUCCCUGUGCUCGAGCGCUGGAAAAGAAUGUCAACUGAAAAAACGACGGAAGGCAAUUGAAUGCAGGUGUGAGCCGCCCGGGAGGGAUAUCAGCUAAGGGAGAGGAGCUGAAGGCCAAGUUCAAAGAUGGAUGUGAGAAAGUGUUGGGCCACAAGAUGUUAAAUUACUUCAACAUGUUAAAUGUUUAAAUGUGGCAAUCAUGUUUUUAUAAUAUAUUAUUUUUGCUUGUGUAACAUUUUCAUACAAUGGAAGAACUUUGGUGUUGUAAACUAUUGAAAAAAUCAAGAGAAAUCAAAUAAAAAUUAAGAAAACUUGUUCCAUUUCAUGAAACUUUUUUUUAAUACUAACUUUGAUAUAAACACAUCUGCGUUCUUGUUAAGCAUUUAUAACAGUUUAAGCUUUUUUUCAUAUCUUACAACAUGGUCAGCAUUUUCAGCACAGUUUGAUAGAAUUUGAUUUGUUUUCCAUUGCUUUUUACACGGUGUAAAAUAUGUUUCUUAUAGCCAUGCUUUUUUUGGUCAAACGCUCACCAGAGCUUUGUGCCUUGUUUAUGUUUACUUGCUGUCUGAAAAUAAAAAUUAACUAAUCA